UACGUAGGGGGCUAGCGUUGUCCGGAAUCAUUGGGCGUAAAGAGCGUGUAGGCGGUCCGGUAAGUCCGCUGUGAAAGUCGAGGGCUCAACCCUCGAAUGCCGGUGGAUACUGUCGGGCUAGAGUGCGGAAGAGGCGAGUGGAAUUCCUGGUGUAGCGGUGAAAUGCGCAGAUAUCAGGAGGAACACCUAUUGCGAAGGCAGCUCGCUGGGACGUAACUGACGCUGAGACGCGAAAGCGUGGGGAGCAAACAGG
rnacentral:rRNA from 1 species